rnacentral:rRNA from 3 species
GUGCCAGCAGCCGCGGUAAUACGAGAGGCCCGAGCGUUAGGCGGAAUCACUGGGCUUAAAGGGUGCGUAGGCGGAUCAGUAAGCAUUUUGUGAAAUCCCUCGGCUCAACCGAGGAAUUGCAGAGUGAACUGCUGGUCUUGAGGUAGGCAGAGGUCAUCGGAACGUACGGUGGAGCGGUGAAAUGCGUAGAUAUCGUACGGAACGCCGAAGGGGUAGCCAGGUGACUGGGCCUUACCUGACGCUGAGGCACGAAAGCGUGGGGAUCAAACAGGAUUAGAUACCCUGGUA